CCCUUUUGAUGGCGGAGAGAAUGUUGCAGCUUUUAAGUAAGUCUACAGAUUUUGCCAUGGGAAGAGAGCAGUUUUACAGCUGAUUUCCUGAAAUUCUACCUAUUUUGCCAAGGAGCGUGUCGUAGGGAUUUCCAAGGUGAAUAAAAGAGAAGAGCAGUCACAGAUAAAGUCAAACAAAACCAAUAUGGUUUAAUACAAGUUGCCACAGGGAGACAACAUCCAGCAUUAGAGCACAGAAAAUGUCUAACUCGCCUAAGCAGGCCCUUAUAUUAUAAUCUAACAGCACCAAGCCACUGGGCAAAAACUGGUUUGAUGACAAUGAAUCAAGGUGGAAACUGAUUGGAUUUGAAAAAAGGCAUUAAGGACCUGAGCCCUAGGACCAUGCCUCAGGACGACCUGGCAUGAUGAUUCCUUGCUGUCCCCAGUCCACCUGGUCAUGCUGCUGCUCCAGUUUCGACUGUUCUGGCUGCGGCUAUGGAACACUGACCUGUUUACCGGACGUGCUACCUGUCCCAGACCUGCUGUUUUCAACUCUCUAGAGACAGCAGGAGCGGUCGGUAGAGAUGCUCUCAAUGAUCGGCUAUGAAAGGGCCAACUGACAUUUACUCCUGAGGCUCUGAUCUGUUGCACCCUCGACAACUACUGUGAUUAUUAUUAUUUGACCAUGCUGGUCAUUGAUGAACAUUUGAAAAAGCUCAAUACGGAACUGGUCCGAUGAAGCGGAUGCUGAGCUACAGGACUUUUUCGCUAGCACAGACUGGAUGGACACUUAUAAGAAAUCCCACUACACCCUCCGCCGAACAAUUUUGUGCAGCCUGGAGGAGAUCUUCGUGGGCUAUACUCAGCCUUGUUUCAGGGUAGUACGUUGGUGGUCUGUUGAUAUCCCUUUAGUGUUGUGGGGGCUGUUAUUGAGAAAAGUGGUUGGUUAUAUCCUGCCUGGUUGGCCCUGUCCGGGGGUAUAGUCAGACAGAGCCACCUUGUCACUCUUAUAGUCUCCACCCGGCACAGCCAGAAGGGGACUGGCCACCCCUCAGAGCCUGGUUCCUCUCUAGGUUUCUUCCUAGGUUCUUGGCUUUCUGGGGAGUUUUUCCUAGCCACCGUGCUUCCACAUCUGCAUUGCUUGUUGUUUGGGGUUUUAGGCUGGAUUUCUGUAUAAGCACUUUGUGACAUCUGCUGAUAUAAAAGGGCUUUAUAAAUACAUUUGAUUUGAUGAUCAAACAGUCAAAGCGUCAGUACAGGACCAAGAUCGAAUCCUACUACACCUGCUCUGAUGUCGUAUAUGGCAGGGCUUGCAAACCAUCAUGGAUUACAAAGGGAAACCCAGCCGCAAGCUGGCCUAUAUAUAAGACAGCUAUUAUUCAUCUGUGACCCUUAUGUAAUUACAGGCAGGGUGGGAAAUCAACACCAGCCACCAACCAAAUGCGGUUAGAUUUUGCCAUUGGCUGGUAGACUAUCUAUUCUUACCAGCCAUGUUGGCAGGUGGUCACACAGUUGUUUUUUUAUCCCAUUUUGCAGAUUAUUUUUUCUCAAGACUAAAUAUCCCGAAGCCUCUGUGUAUGUGAAGAUCACAUUCUGCACGUGUUUUCUUUACCUCUACUUUUCACACAUUGUUGUGGUCUCCUUCCUUUCACAUUUCUCACUGUCAACCGUGAAUGAUAAUGAUAAUAGUUUUUACUGGUGAAAUGGCCAUGGAGCAUCUGCAUACCAAUAAUGUGAUUUUAAUCAGUUUCAUGGGGAUAUAUGCAUUUAGAUCUUUAUACAGUGUUUGAAAUAGCCUACAGUGUUCUGAAUGAUGUACAGUGAGCAAAUCUUAGAGCAGAUGGUGUAAAAUAGCUGUAGCAUAGCCUACCUGUGUAUUUUGCCUAGUGUUGUGCGCCGUUGAGUUUUGGCCACAAGAGAAAAAUGCAGUGGUGUUUUACAGUAAUGCAAUACUAUGUUUUUACAUUCGGAUAUGUUAUGUAGAAUAUUAUUAUUAUGUGAUCAUGCAAACUUUGAUCUAAUGUUAUUAAACAAGCACCAAUAGCCAGAGUAGCUGUCACGCCCUGACCUUAUUAUUCUUUGUUUUCUUUAUUAUUUUAGUUGGGUCAGGGUGUGACGAGGGUGAUAUCUGUGUUUUUGACCUGUCUAGGGUUUUUGUAUGUUUAUGGGGUUAUUUUUAGUCUAGGUGUUUUUAUGUCUAUGGUUGCCUAGAUUGGUUCUCAUUUUGAAGCAAGCAGCUGUUUAUCGUUGUCUCUGAUUGGGGACCAUAUUUAGGUAGCCAUAUUCCUUGGGUAUUUCAUGGGUUAUUGUCUAUGUAUAGUUGCCCGUGUCAGCACUAGUGUUUAUAGCUUCACGUUCGUUUUGUUUUGUUAGUUUGUUAAGUGUUCUUCCUUUAAUAAAGAGGAAUGUAUUCGUAUCACGCAGCACCUUGGUCUCCUCGUUACAACGAACGUGACAGUAGCCUUACCUCUACACGGCGAACCAGAGACUGUACGUAAUGUAGAGCAUAAACACAUGCACAGAACGUGAACUGCACAUGUGCAGAAACUUCGGGAUCUUUAGUCCAGAGAACAAAGGCCCAAGAAAAACUUGUGUGUGUGUGUGUGUGUGUGUGGCUGGUCAAAUUUGGACCUCCACCAGCCAACGUUAAUUUCACAUUCUGAUUACAGUACUCAUUACAGCUCUAAUCAUACACACAGAGACAUACACACUCAUGACACAUUCCUAGUGGCGCCACCACUGCUGGGCACUGGCUGUAAGGCGAUAGAGGGAGCGGGAACUGAGCAGGAACUGGAUGAGAAGCAAAGGGAAAAGAAGAGAGGAUUAGAUACAUCUCACUACCAUGACUCAUUGAGGCUGUCUAGUCUAUUAUUAGUACAGAGAAGAAGGAGGGCUUUUAUACAUGGAGAGAUGGAGGCAA
ensembl:lncRNA